CUUCAUUCAAAAGUACUUACUGAGGACCUACUAUAUGCCAGACUCUAUUCUAAAAUACAAGGGCUGUAACAAGAUAAAGGUCCUACACAUUUCCUGAUCUUAUGGAGCUCAGUGAAGGAGGCAAUAGACAAGAGAAUCUCAGCCCGGGAUGUGUGAUAUACAGAAAAUAACAAAGUGAUGUGACAAAGAUGGAUGAGGGACCUUAGUGGGACCUUCUCUGCUGACCAAUCUUCACUAAGGAGGAGACAAAUGGGCUCAGACCAGAUCGACAGAAAGAAGCUGUAACAGCACUGACUCCAUGCUAGAGAAAUGCUUGCUCACUUAAACAUAAUUACUACUUUGCUUGAAUUUAUAGAUUAUUUACUAAAAACAGCUUCAGGAAAACAGGACCUUCAACAGAGAUAAAAGGAAGUGUGUGCAAUAAACAACUCUAGAAACAGGCUGCCAAGCCUGAUCAGAAUAGGUGACGGAUCUGCAGAAGCCACAGUACGUUGACCAGGAAAGCAAUGACGAACGGCCUGCCUGAGACAGCACACAUUUCACAAGAAUGUUUUGAUCAUCAUUUCCCCUAAUUUCCCUUAAAAACCCCUUAUCUGGAGAUCCAACUCGGUGAAGUGGUCUUUGAACGCUAGUUCCCUGCCUCCCCCAGGUUGCUGGCUUCUCGAAUAAAGCUAACUUUCCUCUCGUCGAAGCUCUUCUCUUAAGUUUUUGGCUUUCAAGUGACGAGUAGCCUGGACCUGAGUUUGGUUACACAGCCAGCCAGGUAAAGCUGUGGGGAAGAAAAUUGCAGGCUGAAAAAACAGCACAUCCAACAGACUUGACUGGCCUACAAACAAGAAGAUGGCUAAUGUGAAGAGGGAGGCAAGGAAAAAGAGAGUGGUAUGGCUCAGGCCAGACAGGAAGAUGAGGAAUUUGGGACCUGGGAGUUUGGGAGAAAAGCAAAGAAGGCCUGGGGUUGAGUGAGACACAGGGUCCCAGCCAGCAGCUAGAACACGAGGAGAAAAGAAGAAAGGACUCACUGAAAGGGAAUUGCUGAAGAGGACCUUUAUAUCUGAGGGCUUUACUUUGUGCUUUGUAAUUUCCCUUUGUCAUCCUCAUCUUUUAGGAAACUGAUUAACCACUAUAAUUUACGUCGUAUUAGCAACGCCUUAGAGAAUGAAGGAGGAACUGUACUUAUUCUUGGAGCGUAGCCUGGAGAGAGGCAGAAGCCUUCAGGAGCUGUUACUAGGUAGUAGGAAAUCACUCUCUCUAGAGUCCUCUGAAACAGUCUGGAAGAGAAUGGAUUUCCUGCUGUUGUGCAGGAUGAGGGUUUGAGUACAGUAAUUUAAUUUACUUAUUUAAAAAAUACUGGAAGAUGGGGAGGGAGGAUGGGUCAGAUUAUAAUAUGUUCAUAUGUCUAAGGCAGGAAAUUAGAUACAAGAUGAAAUCUAAGAAAGUUCUGUGAUUGGGUUUCUCCCACAGAAGGAGGAGAAAAUCCCUGCAUCUCUGGUUAUGCAAAUAAUAUGCAAAUUACAGUG
rnacentral:lncRNA from 1 species